GGAUUCCCCUAGUAACUGCGAGUGAACAGGGAUUAGCCCAGCACCGAAGCCUGUGGUUAUUUGACUGCAAGGCAAUGUGGUGUUUAGGUUUGUUCUUGGCACUACUGCUCUGCCCCAAGUCCAGCAAUGAGUACGGCAUACCGUUCUGGCCCAAAGAGGGUGAAAGGCCCGUGGGGGUAGAGACCAAGCAUGACAGUUUUGUCCAGAGCUUACCUUGGAGUCGGGUUGUUUGAGAAUGCAGCCCAAAGUGGGUGGUAAACUCCAUCCAAGGCUAAAUACUUGCACGAGUCCGAUAGUAAACAAGUACCGUGAGGGAAAGUUGAAAAGUACUUUGAAGAGAGAGUAAACAGUGCGUGAAACCGCUCAGAGGUAAACGGGUGGAGUUGAACUGCGAUCCCUGGGAAUUCAGCUGGUGAGCAUGAUUUGUGCUUGGGCAUAUUGGCCGCCUUUCAGUGUCUGCUUAACUGCGGGUGCCUACCUCUGGUGGGUAUGUGUGGUGCGCUUAUCAUGUGCCGCACGCAUUGGAGGGUGUAUGGGUCUGCUUGCCAGUGCACUUUCUCAGGGUGUUCACCACGACCGGCGCUGCUGUCUGUCUGCUGUGGUCAAACUGGUCAGGUCUGAUUAACGUUGGGCUUGGUUGGGUUGGCAGGUGACUCACUGGUCCACUCUGUGGGCUAUGAGUGUUACUAGCCGGCUAUAGUGGAUCUGUACGGUGCGUCGGAGACGGCGGCUUGGCGUAUGCGCUCUGUCCUUCAGGCGUGGUUGAGUCUGGUCAGCUUGUUGCUAGCUUCGGCUGGUCAGUUGAUGGCUUGAUCAUGUUCAGUUGGCAGUUGUGUGUGUGUCUUAGUUUGGGCCAAUAGUCUGUGGUGUUGUGGUAGACUAUCCACCUGACCCGUCUUGAAACACGGACCAAGGAGUUUAACAUGUGCGCGAGUCAUUGGGCGUUACGAAACCCAAAGGCGUAGUGAAGGUAAAGGUUCGGCUUGUCCGGGCUAAGGUGAGAUCCUGUUGUUUUGCUCAUUAACUCCAAGAUGCGAGCAGCAGGCGCAUCACCGGCCCGUCCCAUGGCGUAGACAUGUGGCCUUGUGCUAUGUGCACCGUCGGGGCGGAGCAAGAGCGUGCAUGUUGAGACCCGAAAGAUGGUGAAGUAUGCUUGCGAAGGUUGAAGCCAGAGGAAACUCUGGUGGAGGACCGUAGCGAUUCUGACGUGCAAAUCGAUCGUAUAACGUGAGUAUAGGGGCGAAAGACUAAUCGAACCAUCUAGUAGCUGGUUCCCUCCGAAGUUUCCCUCAGGAUAGCU
rnacentral:rRNA from 1 species